ACGGGUGAGUAAUAUAUCGGAACGUGCCCAGUCGUGGGGGAUAACUGUUCGAAAGAGCAGCUAAUACCGCAUACGACCUGAGGGUGAAAGCGGGGGAUCGCAAGACCUCGCGCGAUUGGAGCGGCCGAUAUCAGAUUAGGUAGUUGGUGGGGUAAAAGCCCACCAAGCCAACGAUCUGUAGCUGGUCUGAGAGGACGACCAGCCACACUGGGACUGAGACACGGCCCAGACUCCUACGGGAGGCAGCAGUGGGGAAUUUUGGACAAUGGGCGCAAGCCUGAUCCAGCCAUGCCGCGUGCGGGAAGAAGGCCUUCGGGUUGUAAACCGCUUUUGUCAGGGAAGAAAAGGUUCUGGUUAAUACCUGGAACUCAUGACGGUACCUGAAGAAUAAGCACCGGCUAACUACGUGCCAGCAGCCGCGGUAAUACGUAGGGUGCAAGCGUUAAUCGGAAUUACUGGGCGUAAAGCGUGCGCAGGCGGUUAUGCAAGACAGAGGUGAAAUCCCCGGGCUCAACCUGGGAACUGCCUUUGUGACUGCAUAGCUAGAGUACGGUAGAGGGGGAUGGAAUUCCGCGUGUAGCAGUGAAAUGCGU
rnacentral:rRNA from 1 species